rnacentral:rRNA from 1 species
AUUCCCUAGUAACUGCGAGUGAAGCGGGAAAAGCUCAAAUUUGUAAUCCGUCCCCCGACGGAGUUGUAAUCUAGAGAAGUGUUUUCGGCCGUUGUCUCGGAUAAGUCCCCUGAAACAGGGCGUCAUAGAGGGUAACAAUCCCGUCCUUACCGAGGUCGCAAUGUCUAUGUGAUACACUCUCGAAGAGUCGAGUUGUUUGGGAAUGCAGCUCAAAAUGGGUGGUAAAUUCCAUCUAAAGCUAAAUAUUGGCGAGAGACCGAUAGCGAACAAGUACCGUGAGGGAAAGAUGAAAAGCACUUUGGAAAGAGAGUUAAACAGUACGUGAAAUUGCUAAAAGGGAAGCGCUUGAAGUCAGUCGCGUCGUCAGAGACUCAACCUCACUCAUGGUGUAUUUCUCUGGUGACGGGCCAACAUCGAUUUUGGGCGUGGGAAUAGGAUACAGGGAAUGUGGCAGCCUCGGCUGUGUUAUAGCCCUGCAAUCGUAAACCACGCCUGGGAUCGAGGACCGCGGCUCUGCCUAGGAUGUUGGCGUAAUGGCUUUAAGCGACCCGUCUUGAAACACGGACCAAGGAGUCUAACAUGUCUGCGAGUGUUUGGGUGUCAAACCCAUGCGCGCAAUGAAAGUAAACGUAGGUGGGAGGCCUCGGCCGCACCAUCGACCGAUCCGGAUCUUUAGUGAUGGAUUUGAGUAAGAGCAUAUAUGUUGGGACCCGAAAGAUGGUGAACUAUGCCUGAAUAGGGCGAAGCCAGAGGAAACUCUGGUGGAGGCUCGUAGCGAUUCUGACGUGCAAAUCGAUCGUCAAAUUUGGGUAUAGGGGCGAAAGACUAAUCGAACCAUCUAGUAGCUGGAUCUGGCGGAG